rnacentral:rRNA from 1 species
GACGAACGCUGGCGGCGUGCCUAAUACAUGCAAGUUGAGCGCUGAAGGUUGGUACUUGUACCAACUGGAUGAGCAGCGAACGGGUGAGUAACGCGUGGGGAAUCUGCCUUUGAGCGGGGGACAACAUUUGGAAACGAAUGCUAAUACCGCAUAAAAACUUUAAACACAAGUUUUAAGUUUGAAAGAUGCAAUUGCAUCACUCAAAGAUGAUCCCGCGUUGUAUUAGCUAGUUGGCGAGGUAAAGGCUCACCAAGGCGAUGAUACAUAGCCGACCUGAGAGGGUGAUCGGCCACAUUGGGACUGAGACACGGCCCAAACUCCUACGGGAGGCAGCAGUAGGGAAUCUUCGGCAAUGGACGAAAGUCUGACCGAGCAACGCCGCGGGAGUGAAGAAGGUUUUCGGAUCGUAAAACUCUGUUGGUAGAGAAGAACGUUGGUGAGAGUGGAAAGCUCAUCAAGUGACGGUAACUACCCAGAAAGGGACGGCUAACUACGUG